rnacentral:lncRNA from 1 species
UAUCUUGUUGGUUUUCCUUACCACGGCAACGACCUCUGUCCCUCAAAUAGAGUGUGGUAAUAAAUUUCAGAGUGAAUAAAAAUUAAGGGUGUUUUCGUCCCUUUAAUUAGCAACUUGAAGUUUGAUACUUACCUUGAUGGAUUUUGAAUUGUUGGCGCAUAGGAAAAGCUUUGUGCAGAAAAAGAACUACAUGAACAAAAGGAAAAGAAAUAUGUUCCUACAUUGAAAGAGAAAAGAGACUUGAGGGUGUGAAUUAAUUUCCUUGAUGAAUGAAGGAAUAAGAAUCAUUUGGAGAAGCUGAUGCGUUACAAUAUGAAGAAGAAUUGGUAGGUUUUCUUAAUCGAUGGGUAUUCUUUAAUUUAGCUAAAUCAGUAAUUAUUAAUUUUAUGAGAUAAAUAGGAGAGAAAGAGGGAAAAAAUUCAAAAAUUGGAAAAAAGGAUAAAUGCCAUUUUAGAUCAGUUAAGCAUGCCACAUUUGACAUUACUAGUUCUAUUAGGGUUCAACAGGCUUAUAUUUCUCCUUUAUAUUAAUAUAUAGACUCUGGUCAAGGUUGUAAGUAAGGUGAUCUUUCAAGUUCUCUAUAUCUUAAUAGUCAGUAUUGACAUUACUAGUUCUAUUAAGGUUCAACGGUCCGGGUUCAAGACGAUGAUCGCUGAAAGUGCUAGCUUAAGGAAGAUAUCCUCUUGAUGGAAUGCGCUCUUAGCUUUUUGCUUGAGAGUAGGACUUGUGAAGUCAAAGAUUUCAACACUGCUCGACUUGGCUAUUGAAGAAGCUCUUUGCCUUUAGGCACCAGGAGUAUGCAAAAGAUAGCACAUCAAGAUAGUCUUUACAGUCAAGUGCUUUCCGCUCCCGAACUAUUAUGCGAGUUUAGCCACCACCUCCGGAUCCGUGCUCUGCUCGAGAGUAGUCAGCCAACUUCCUGACUUUGCUUAG